rnacentral:rRNA from 1 species
CUAGCCGUAAACGAUGGAUACUAGGCGUUGUGAGUAUCGACCCUCACAGUGUCGUAGCUAACGCGUUAAGUAUCCCGCCCGGGGAGUACGCGCGCAAGCGUGAAACUCAAAGGAAUUGACGGGGGCCCGCACAAGCGGUGGAGUAUGUGGUUUAAUUCGAUGCAACGCGAAGAACCUUACCAGGACUUGACAUGUCGCGAAUCUCAGGGAAACUUGAGAGUGCCUUCGGGAGCGCGAACACAGGUGGUGC